rnacentral:siRNA from 1 species
AUACCUGAUUGGAAUGACACCUAA